UCCCUUUGUCUGAGCUGGUGGCUUUCUCUGACCCGAGUCCUUAGAAUUGCGAGGGUAGAAGUAGAGGUGGGCUCAAGUUCACGGGUGCUGAGAAAGGGUACCUCAGUAGAGAUUUUUAUUUUUUUUAUCACUCAGGCCCGAGUGAAAAUUAGGAGAUGAGUAUUUAGUCUGAUGCACAAAAGUAUGUCAGAUGUAGCAGUUAUUGAUCUUCUUUACCCUCCCCUAAUGUUUUUGCACCCGGAAAGCUGUCUAAAAUUAAGCUUAGAAAAAGAGACUAUGUCACCAUCGAUGACUUGCGGGUCGGGAGACAGUGAACAGGGAGGGGGUAAGCAUUGUUGGGCGGCACCCCUAAGCUUUAAUUGCAGGAAUACUAUUAGGGGAGUAAGAACCCUAGUUAUUUUUGGACCAAGUUGGUGCUUCCUGCUCUCCCAUUCUGGCCUUCUUAGUCUACCAGCUAAACCUUUGGGGCCCCGGAAAUUUCCCAAUUUGGCAAAACUUACAGCUACCCUAUUGUUUCUUAGGCCCAGGAAUUAACAAACUUUAAUUAGAACAGGACCAGUGGCAAGUAAAAGUGGGAAGCUAGUCUACACACCACUCCACUCAAGCACCUCUAUGAAGGGAACAUGUGGAGAGGAACAAAAGCCUCCAUCGACAACCACACCAACCAGCCAUGUGAGACAUUAUUCCUACAGAGGAAAAUUGGACUAAGAAGAGAUGAGGAAACUGAGAACCAUAAAGUCACUCCAGCCUUCUGACUUCAGACCAUAGUUUAAUGAACUGUGCAGAGGGACUAGUAGCAGCAAUGGAGGAAGAUUAUCUGAAAAGCAAAAAGCAGCUCACUAGACUUUAAUCACCAAAAAUGAUUACUUCAAAUGAAGGAUUCAUACUAUCCCUUCUUCUAUACAUUAUGCAUAAUGUCUAUGAAUCACAACAUCAGUUAAAUUUCCACUUUUAUAAAGUAUUUUCUUUUAUUCUUCACUCAUUCAUUCUUUUCUUUCUUUCUUUCUUCUUCUUCUUCUUCUUCUUCUUCUUCUUCUUCAACAUCAUCAUCAUCCAGUGUUAACUGUAAAUUGUGCAUUGCACUAAUAUACUAAAUCUUAAUAAAAUAAUCAACCAAUCAAAAAGUCCUUACCUUCUAUUUCCUAGUAUGCUGAGGAUUUUAACAAAUGCCCACUUCCCUUCAGUAAAGCAAAACAAUCCCUGCCUACACAAAUUUUGACAAGAUGCUGCACAAUACAAAAUAA